rnacentral:rRNA from 1 species
CCUACGGGAGGCAGCAGUGAGGAAUAUUGGUCAAUGGUCGGGAGACUGAACCAGCCAAGCCGCGUGAGGGAUGAAGGUACAGAGUAUCGUAAACCUCUUUUGUCAGGGAACAAAGGCGGGGACGUGUCCCCGGCUGAGUGUACCUGAAGAAAAAGCAUCGGCUAACUCCGUGCCAGCAGCCGCGGUAAUACGGAGGAUGCGCGCGUUAUCCGGAUUUAUUGGGUUUAAAGGGUGCGCAGGCGGUCUGUUAAGUCAGCGGUCAAAGCCCGGGGCUCAACCCCGGCCCGCCGUUGAAACUGGCAGUCUCGAGUUGGAGAGAAGUAUGCGGAAUGCGCGGUGUAGCGGUGAAAUGCAUAGAUAUCGCGCAGAACUCCGAUUGCGAAGGCAGCAUGCCGGCUCCACACUGACGCUGAGGCACGAAAGCGUGGGUAUCGAACAGGAUUAGAUACCCCUGUAGUC